GGAAGACUGGCAUAAAAGCCAGUUAUGUAGCCCGGGCGAGCCAUUCUGGGAUGGGUUUUGCACGGAGAGGGUGGUGGUCUGCAGUGCAAACGACACCUGGCACAGUUACUAUUUCAAAAACUCAUUUGCUCUCAUAAAGAAGGGAAAGGAAAUUCUUCAGCAGCAGGAACAUCCGACUUAAGAAAACACUUUUUCUGCGACCUUUUCCUUCUGAUUUUCAAAGGAGAAUGAGUUUGAGAAACGGGGUUAAGGAAGCAACCUUUCUGGGAUCCUUUGCCUUCUAGCAGCUGCUUCCCUCCCUGCACUCCAAAGAAAUGCACAAGCUUAGUUGGCCACACAGAUUGCCAAGGCAUUUCAAGGAGGCUUUCCAGGGAAGAGUGAUCGACCUACAGCUAUCCUACCCUGGGCUUCCUUUAAAAAAAUAAUAAAAAACCCUCUCUUUG